GACGAACGCUGGCGGCGUGCUUAACACAUGCAAGUCGAACGGAAAGGCCCGGCUUUUGUGGGGUGCUCGAGUGGCGAACGGGUGAGCAACACGUGAGUAACCUGCCCUUGACUUUGGGAUAACUUCAGGAAACUUGGUCUAAUACCGGAUAGGAUCUCUUGCUUCAGGGUGGGGGUGGGAAAGUUUCGGCGGUUGGGGAUGGACUCGCGGCUUAUCAGCUUGUUGGUUGGGUAGUGGAUUACCAAGGCUUUGACGGGUGGCCGGCCUGAGAGGGUGACAGGCCACAUUGGGACUGAGAUACGGCCCAGACUCCUACGGGAGGCAGCAGUGGGGAAUAUUGCACUAUGGGCGGAAGCCUGAUGCAGCACCGCCGCGUGCGGGAUGACGGCCUUCGGGUUGUAAACCGAUUUCGCCUGUGACGAAGCGUGAGUGACGGUAAUGGGUAAAGAAGCACCGGCUAACUACGUG
rnacentral:rRNA from 1 species